rnacentral:ribozyme from 1 species
GAAAGGAAACAAAGAGAAAAGAGAGAAAAGUGCUUGUCUUUGCGACUCCUUUUCUAUUUCAUUUAUGUUUGUUCUUCGUCUUGUUCGUUUUCCCUUGUG